AAGUCGUAACAAGGUCUCCGUUGGUGAACCAGCGGAGGGAUCAUUACAGAGUUUUUCAAACUCCCAAACCCAUGUGAACCUACCUCACGUUGCCUCGGCAGGUGAAAGCCGUCCUAGCUGGCGGUCGACCCUGCCGACGGACCCCUAAACUCUGUUUUUUACAGCAUUAGACCUCUGAAAAAAUAACUAAAUCAGUUAAAACUUUCAACAACGGAUCUCUUGGUUCUGG
rnacentral:misc_RNA from 1 species